GAAAUAAUUGCUGGAUGAUAUGAUAAGAGUAUGCAAGUUUUGUAAGAAACUGUCAACCUAUCUUCCAAAGUAACUGUGCCAUUUUGCAUUUCCACCAGCAGU
rnacentral:pre_miRNA from 1 species